GCGUGGCGAUGAUGAUAGAGAUGGUAACUGCAAAGGUAUUUUCACUAGCUCUAAACCAUUUGUCAAAGGACAUACUCAGCAACUGUGAAGUCAUUGCUGUCAACCAAGGUAGUGUAGACGUCCAAGGAAAGAAAGUGCCAAUUAUAGGUUUGGGUUGGGCCGCUCAGCAACAGCAGGAAGGUUGUGGUUCUCUGGAACCGGCAGGGUUACCAGGCAACCAUCACUGCGCAAUGGUCAAACAUUGGGCUUGCUUUGUCCACUGUUGUCACUGCUCGUGAUAUUUGGGCGGUAAGCUUUGCUUUCUUCAGAUCCCAUACUGGACAUUAUAAUCAAGUAUGAAGGUUGAUGGUUCAGAUAUCAGAUUUCAUAUUCCAUUUCUUGUGCAUUUUUGCAACACUCGUCCUUCUUGGCCCAGGGCCAAUUAUCAGCUUCAGUGGCACAUCAUGAUAGCAAGAUGUAUGUCCUGACCCAAAGUAACUUUUAGCAGAGAACUGCAAGAUGUAUGUCAUGAAAUUUGAUGUAGUUGGUGACUAGCUGCUGUUGAAGCAGGCAACUAAAAUGAGAAAAGGUCCAUUAUGGUUUCUGCCUCAA